rnacentral:misc_RNA from 1 species
CUUCAUAAACCAAUUAAUGACAAUGGAGUUUGAGGCACAUAUCAUAUAACAAUGGCAGAUGUAUUGGAAAUUACUCUUAAGUAUCGAAGAAAAUGAAUUAAGGAGGUUGUACCACUUGGAACAUAGGGAUAUUCAAUCCCCAGCAUCUCUUCUUCACUGCAGGUUAGGGAUAAAAUCCUUCUUUGUUUUUUUUGCAAGAUACAUACAAAAUGGACUAUUUCGGAUAAGAUUGAAAAUAUGG